UGAUAUUUCCAUUCCAUUGUAUUUUUUUUUGAAAGGAUUACUUAGCUAUUGCUCGCUGAUUUACUGCUUUUACACGGAGUUGGUGGAGAAAAGUGUUUUUUGAAAGUUUAGUCCUUGAUUGGUAGUGCAGAAGAAACGCCCAAGUCUUUUCGUGUUUGUAGUGCGGAUUUUGUUGGAGACCACGUAAAAGUCAGCAACUGGGCCAGAAAAUCUUAUCGAAGGACGCACAAGGAUGAUUGUGCUGGUACACGGCCCCUGCCGUUGGAUAGAAGCAAGCACAGAAGUCAGCACUUCCCUCAAGCCUAGUCUUCCCAUUCCCAGUAAAGAAAGUCAAUAAUGGGAAGUCAUUCAAUUGACACAGGAGCAGAACAGAUUGCUAUUUUACUGGCCGCCAGGGCAAGCGUAGAACUCCCCAUGAACACGAGGUGCCGUCUUUCUUGUCUUCUCAAAUUCUGCUGACGGAAAAUCGUCGUUUAAAAAUAGCGUCUACAUAUCUCAGGUCUGCCUUCAGCUCCAAUUCUGGUUAAAUUGUGGGGGCGUAGUUUUAGGUGAAUGACUGGAGUAUAAAAUGCAUUGGUGGAGAAAAUCCGCUUCAGCUUCCAAGAACAGUGGUCGUAAUAGUAAAUCGAAGGGUAGUUUGGGGGAAUUGUUAAGAAGUCGCAUAGAGAAACAGUGCAAGAGUAAUGGCUCUUCCAUGAAAGAGCAAGGGCAACCAAAUGGUCCGCAUCUAACCAGGACCAGAAAAUUGCGGCACGUUUCUGAUGAGGAAGUGGGAAACAAUUCUCCCAACAAUUGGGGUGGCUCUGGUAGAGCCGUCCCAUUGCCCCUUCCUUCACCCAAGCAGAGGAAGAUGGUGACCGGGGAGGAGGGGCCAGUGGAGGCCUGGGAUUUGCCGUCCAGUGAUGAGUCAGAGGAGAGCUUCCAGCGCCCUGGCACGCCGAGUUCGAAGGUUGGCCAGCUUAAUGCUGAGGCAAAGGCUUCACCCCAGGGGCUUUCCUUCAUUAACACAGACCAUAAGUUACCGGAACAUGCUUCUGCACGAUCAGUUCAAUUUGUUUUAGGAUCAGUGGGUCAAUCAUUGAAAGGGCAUAAGGGUGUUCAAAGGGAUAUGAGUAGCAAAUUGCACUUGAACUUGGGUGGUGUGGCUAAAAGUGCUCCUACAACUGUCUUUUCAAGCCCUGCCAUCAGCCCUCGACGUAUGAGCAGUGGUGACUUUUUGCUAUCAAAUAAUUACAAAACUACCAAAGAACAGGACCUUGGAAUUCCUUUAUCAAUUCCACCAUUGGGCCAAAAUUUGAUGGCUGAUAUGAUUAUGCAGCCUUUAGCAGAUAAAGUCCUUAUUAGCCCAGAUCGAUCUCCACUUCAGAGUCCAAGGAUGAGAAGUCCUCGUAUAAAAUCAAGAAUUCACAGUGGUGCAGUGUCUCCUUUACAUCCAAAUUUCUUAACAGGACCAUAUGAUGACAGUGCCAACGUUAGUGUACACAGAUUGCCCCUUCCACCUGGGAAUGCUAGUCCUGUUGGUGCUGCUCCAUCACCAAAUUCUCCAUCUCUAGCUGUCCAGCGCAGUUCUCUAAGAACCGAUGCAUCAAUUAAUCCAGGCCAAUGGAAAAAAGGAAAGCUUCUUGGUAGUGGCACGUUUGGUACUGUUUAUGUUGGUUUUAACAGAGAAACUGGGGAUAUGUGUGCCAUGAAAGAGGUGCCUUUGAUUCCUGAUGAUCCCAAGUCUUCUGAGAGUAUCAAGCAAUUGGAACAGGAAAUAAAUCUUCUUAGCCAGUUGAAACAUCCUAAUAUUGUGCAAUACUAUGGAAGUGAAACUUUAGAGGAUGCAUUCUACAUCUAUCUAGAAUAUGUUCCUGGAGGUUCAAUCUUCAAGAUUCUUAAAGAAUAUGGGCCACUGCCUGAAUCUGUAAUAAGGAUAUACACGCGCCAAAUUCUUUCUGGGCUGGCAUACUUGCACAGCAAGAACACUGUUCACAGGGAUAUAAAAGGUGCAAAUCUCCUUGCAGAUACAUCUGGGAAAAUAAAGCUUGCAGAUUUUGGUAUGGCCAAACAUAUAAAUGGUCCAGCAACUCCCCUCUCAUUAAAAGGAAGCCCAUAUUGGAUGGCCCCUGAGCUCAUGAUGCAAAAGAACACCGGACACGAUCUGGCUGUUGACAUUUGGAGUUUGGGCUGUACUGUCAUUGAGAUGGCUAUGGGCAAGCCUCCAUGGAGUGAAUAUGAAGGGGCAGCAGCAAUGUUCAAAGUGUUCAAGAGUGAAGUUCCAUCCAUACCAGAUACCUUAUCAGUGGAGGGAAAGGAUUUUAUUAGCUGUUGCUUAUGCAGAAACCCAGCAGAAAGACUAACAGCAUGUCAAUUACUUGAUCAUACAUUUGUGAGAGAUGCUAAUCAUCAGGAUUCUGACCCUCUAGCAUCUACAACAUCUUGCAUUAAGUCUCUGAAUUUAGUGCACAGUCCACGGGAGAAAAGUAUGAAUACUUCAGAGCAUGCCACUUUCCAUACAAGAAAUGGCAACCAACAUCAGUUGUCAAGUGAGCACAUUCACCCUCAAAUUGGAACAUCUACUCGCUCUUCUAAUCAGCAGCUUUCACCUCGUUCCACUCUGGAGGCAUUCAGCAGCUUAUCUCCACCACAUUCAAAUGUUUUGAAGAAUGAAGCCUUAUUUGGAAGUGUGGAAAAUGGAUAUUGGGCAAGUGCUACACAUGAAGGCCCUCUGAAAGUACGAAGUUCCCUUCAAGGAAGGCUUGGGGCUGUGGGGAUUGUAAACAUAGCAGAUCAGUCAGAGUACAGUACUGAUCACAAUUUGAGUUCUCCAGUAAUUCGCACACCUGAAGGAAGUCCUAAAAGAUGGGAUUACGGACAUGAUGAUAUAAUGCAUGUAAAUUUCAGUAGGAGACCUCAUGAAUUUGAAGAGGAUCAUGGUAAGAGGUUUGUGAGAGAAAUUGCUCCUCAGGGGCCUGUAAUGACAUUGGGAUAUCCCACCAUCCAUCCAUAGAGAUUUUCAACGGUUUAUCAUUCUGGCAACAGUGGUGCACAAAUUUCAACCAUAGCAGUAGAGUCGGAAUGCUUACGACUGUCUAGCCAAAAAGACAACCUGCUAAAGGUGAAGGAGAGAUGGAUGAUAUUGGAGAAGAUCGGGUUCUCCAAAGUAAAAAUACAAAGGCCUUGUUGCUUUUGAAACUCUCAGUGACAAAUGAAAUGUUGCCCAAAUUGUCAGGGUCAAAAGCUGCAUUAAAAGUCUGGAGCAGCUGGAAAGAAAAACAUCAAACUUCCACUAGCAAGCAGGCCCUAUGUAAAGUACGUAGGCAUGGUAUGGUAAAAAUGCAAUGGAGUUGAGGAUUGCCACUCAACUCGUUUCACAAGUUGCCAGUUUCUCUUUUGUAGAGAGGAGUUGGUCCACAUCAUCAUUCUAUCUUUCAAGAGAAUAUGCUUAACUCUUAAUGGGCAGAGAAGUUGGUGGCUGUCCAUGGUGCCUCACAAUUUCAAGAUUGAUAGACUCCUAAGUAUUGUUAGACUCCAGCUGCAAAUUGGAAUACUGAUCCUAAAGAUGCCACACAGAUUGACGAGGAGGAGGUACAUGAAGGAUUGGUUGGGGUAGCAUUAGAUGAGCCAUUCUUUCAUAUUGGAAAUGACCUAGAUUCAGGCUCAGACUUACGUAAUUAUACAGGAUUUCAGGACAAAGAUCAGAAACAGCAGUAGAUCUAGUUGCUAUGUUAUUUUUCUACAUUUUUGUCAUUUUGUAGUUGUAGCCUUUGGGCCUUUUGUUGUAAUAUAUGCACAUUGACAAUGAAAACAAUGAUAUUUUGUUAAUCUGUGUGUCGACUCUCAUUUGAAGUCUCAAUUCAACACUAAUGUUAUGUAAUAUGAUUCUAUAAUGAAUAUGAUGAAUGCAUUAUAAUAUGGAUAAUUUAAAUAAUUAAAUUUCCUAUAUUUUUAAACUUUUCCCUAUUUUUUAAUUACCAUUCCCUACUGCCCCUCCAAAUGGCUUGCCUUCAAAAUAUAUUAUUUCCAUUGAAUCUUUGUAGCAAGUUGAAUGUUGAUUAUUUCUCUUGGAGAGCAUUCAAAGGAGUCUCAACGAAAACUUCAGGGAAAGGACCACAUUUUUGCUAGACGAAGGCACCACCUAGUCAAUAACACCGAGAGGUCUCUGGUAGCCACCUUUAUAGGAAGCUUCUGAGAUGGCAAUUUGAAUUUCAUUGGAUUUGGUAAUUUUUGAU